UACGGAGGGUGCGAGCGUUGUCCGGAUUUACUGGGCGUAAAGAGCGCGCAGGCGGUCGUUCAAGUCGCGUGUGAAAGCCCCCGGCUCAACUGGGGAGGGUCACGCGAUACUGAUCGACUGGAAGGCAGGAGAGGGUAGUGGAAUUCCCGGUGUAGUGGCGAAAUGCGUAGAUAUCGGGAGGAACACCAGUGGCGAAGGCGACUACCUGGCCUGUUCUUGACGCUGAGGCGCGAAAGCCAGGGGAGCAAACGGG
rnacentral:rRNA from 1 species